rnacentral:tRNA from 1 species
AGAGUUCAAGCUUUGCAAUAAGCAAUGGAUUUUUAACUCAUAGAAGUCAUUUUUUGGCGAACUCU